ensembl:lncRNA
GUUCACAUCUGAGCUUAGAACUUGAGUUCAAGUUACUUCACCUCCAUGAGCUUUAGCUUUCUGAUCUGUCACCUGGGGAUAAUGAUGAUAUGGCCGUCCUGGGCAUUAUGUGGGUAGUGAUUUGUUUGAAGAAAUGGAGUCAGAGCCACCCAUCGUCAACCACAUGGAUGUCGUCACAUCCCAUCUAUGAAUGAAGAUGCGGUCAGAGACCAGGGUCAGUGAUGUAAGAAAUUACAUUCACCUAAGCCCUGAUCAGGGGACGAAGACUGGUGGAUAAUGGUGUUCUCUACCUUUCACAAUACAGCUAAGACUCUGCUCCCUGUUCCAGAGCAGAGCCAGGCAGUCUGGCCCCUGUGCCCAGCCUCCUCCUCCUUCUGCAUUUCUGUUGUCUCUUCUGUUUUGCUAACACAUAUAGUACUUGCUAUUUAUGUGCUGACCUGAGUACUUUACAGGAAUAA